rnacentral:lncRNA from 1 species
GGGACAACCUGCGGUUUAACCUGUCUGCAACUUGAGGGACCAAAAUGUAGACUCCAAGAUUUAGUCACUGUAAGGUGGAUAACUGGAUAUCAAAAAAAAAAAAAAAAAAAAUUAGGGCUUGGUAUAAAACCCUUACCCUAAAGAAAAAUACAUGAUUUACCUAAAUUGACAAAACCAUUGUUAUUUAAAAAAUAAAUAAAUCAACAGCUUCUAAUAAUGUGCUUAACAUCAAUUUAGAUGGCAAUAAUGCGAUGAUCACAUUUCAUUUAUUGAAAAAUAUAGCAAUGAUCUCACUACCGCAUAAGAUGGGGUUAAGGGUUAAGGGCCGAUAAUAGGAUUAUUUAUUUUCUUUUCAUUGCUAUUUUAUUUUCUAGAAAAAUGAUGGAGAUUGAUAUUAAAUAACGACUUUACAAACAAAAUUGUAACUUCUUGAGAAAAUAAAAAUAAUAAAAAUAAAAGUCAAAAUAAAAUUAAUUAUUGCAAUUAUAAGGAGAGUCUCUAUAAUUCCUCGAUGAGAAAACAUAGACCAACCACAUAUUGCGAGAGUUGAUCGACUAAGAGAUCCAAACAAUAAAACUAUCAAUGGCAAUAUUAUUACAACAUCUAAAUUUUAAAAGGAAGUGAUAUAUUAUUAUUUCCAAAUCAUUACAAUAUUUUCUUUAUCUCAGAGAAACAGAUGGACAGUCAAGAAAUGUGCGUGCAAGCGUACAAUGUACCCUGAUGCUCUACAUGUCACCAGCCCUACGUGCGAAGACGAUCUGCUGAUUAUGUAAAUGAACGUGCACACUUACACUUGAGAAUGCUCUUUUUUGACGCGACUAGACAUUGAUCAUGAAUGAAAGCAGGUGUUCAUCUCUACAUUCUGAGUAAUUAGAUACAGAUGAGCAGAUACUUAUUGAAGACGCUAACAUGUUACUCGAAUGCUUUUAUGAUUCUUGGAAGUUUUUAACAGAAGACAUUUGGUACUCAAGAAACUAAAUUAGGAACUAUUCUGUGAUAUGCGUACACUUCUUCAAGAACAUGGCUGAAAACAUCACGCGAGGGACAAUUUGGCAAGUGUUAGAGCCAAUACUCGUACCCCAUUUGCGAUAUCCUCAAUGGCAGCAAACUCUUCGGGCUUAUGGCUAUAUCCUGAAAAAAAAGAAUUAUGUACCCCCAAAAAUGUUAAGGACCGUUUCAGCCAGAAUAUCAACUUGAACAUCUAUGUAUUUACGCUAUAUUGCUAGCCUUCUCAGCAGACAUCAUUGUCAAAUGAAUGCCAUCACAAUUUGCAUGUUUGGCAAAACUUAAAUUAUAAUUUAAAGUAGUCAAACAUACUUUUUUGUCCAUACUAAACCACAACUCACUACCCACUUAUUAUCCACAUAUUCCGUAGAAUUCACUGUUUAUAAGCACUAUCAAACAAGCACUAAAAUUGGCA